rnacentral:sRNA from 1 species
CCGUGUCUCUGAAGGCAUCCCUGCCCACCCUCACCCCUUGGGUUUUGGGAAGGACUAAUGAAAUGAAAACUGACUUCCUUGGGGCUUGACCUGGGGCUGCUGGAAGUGCGCUACAGACAACCUUUUAGUCCUCACGGUGGCCACUAAGGAGACCGAGGGAUUCCGUCGCUUCAAGCGCUCAGCUCAGUUCUUCAACUACAAGAUCCAGGCGCUUGGCCUAGGGGAGGACUGGAAUGUGGAGAAGGGGACGUCGGCAGGUGGAGGGCAGAAGGUCCGGCUGCUGAAGAAAGCUCUGGAGAAGCACGCAGACAAGGAGGAUCUGGUCAUUCUCUUCACAGACAGCUACGACGUGCUGUUUGCAUCGGGGCCCCGGGAGCUCCUGAAGAAGUUCCGGCAGGCCAGGAGCCAGGUGGUCUUCUCUGCCGAGGAGCUCAUCUACCCAGACCGCAGGCUGGAGACCAAGUAUCCGGUGGUCUCCGAUGGCAAGAGGUUCCUGGGCUCUGGAGGCUUCAUCGGUUAUGCCCCCAACCUCAGCAAACUGGUGGCCGAGUGGGAGGGCCAGGACAGCGACAGCGACCAGCUGUUUUACACCAGGAUCUUCUUGGACCCGGAGAAGAGGGAGCAGAUCAAUAUCACCCUGGACCACCGCUGCCGUAUCUUCCAGAACCUGGAUGGAGCCUUGGAUGAGGUCGUGCUCAAGUUUGAAAUGGGCCACGUGAGAGCGAGGAACCUGGCCUAUGACACCCUCCCGGUCCUGAUCCAUGGCAACGGGCCAACCAAGCUGCAGUUGAACUACUUGGGCAACUACAUCCCGCGCUUCUGGACCUUCGAGACAGGCUGCACCGUGUGUGACGAAGGCUUGCGAAGCCUCAAGGGCAUUGGGGAUGAAGCUCUGCCCACGGUCCUGGUUGGCGUGUUCAUCGAACAGCCCACGCCGUUCGUGUCCCUGUUCUUCCAGCGGCUCCUGCGGCUCCACUACCCCCAGAAA